CCUACGGGCGGCAGCAGUCGAGAAUCAUUCACAAUGGGGGAAACCCUGAUGGUGCGACGCCGCGUGGGGGAAUGAAGGUCUUCGGAUUGUAAACCCCUGUCAUGUGGGAGCAAAUUAAAAAGAUAGUACCACAAGAGGAAGAGACGGCUAACUCUGUGCCAGCAGCCGCGGUAAUACAGAGGUCUCAAGCGGUGUUCGGAAUCACUGGGCGUAAAGCGUGCGUAGGCUGUUUCGUAAGUCGGGUGUGAAAGGCGCGGGCUCAACCCGCGGCCGGCACAUGAUACUGCGAGACUAGAGUAAGGGAGGGGGAACCGGAAUUCUAGGUGUAGCAGUGAAAUGCGUAGAUAUGGAGAGGAACACUCGUGGCGAAGGCGGGUUCCUGGACAUUAACUGACGCUGAGGCACGAAGGCCAGGGGAGCGAAAGGGAUUAGAUACCCUUGUAGUC
rnacentral:rRNA from 1 species